rnacentral:lncRNA from 1 species
CUCAGUUCCUGGCCUUAGAGGACCAGGAAGGAAAUGUAGAGAAAGCAUAACUUACGUUGCUACUUCUUUUCUUCUUUCACUUGAUUAACUUUAAAUAUCAACCUUCUGACACUUUCAUGGACAAAUGUUCAUUGGCCCAUCAUCCUUUAACUUGGGAAGCUACUGUCUCCCAUGCCAUAGGAAUCCUGCUUAGGUGUGUGGAACAAGGAAACUAACACC